UGGGAUUUUCCCUUGAUGUCAGUUAUAAUCAUCAAAAUUAAAAGAAAUAAACAUUUGAAAUAUAUCAGUCUGUGUGUAAUAAAUGAGUGUCGAAUGAAACUAUACUAAUACUUAUAGCAUAUAAUCUCAAAGAUUGUUAUUGGUUAUAUAAUAUCACUGCCAGAAGGUGGAGCCCUCUAAACCAUCUCAGUAUCUUCAACAAAGCAUACAUUUAUAAACCAAGUCAGUCAGAUCCUAGAUGAGAACUAGAAGCAUUCAAUUUUAAAGCCAUUGUCUUUUAUUAGUGUAGAUGUUGCUUUUAACAUUCAUCAUGGUUUCUCUUCUAAAAGAGAAUGCUGCUGCAGAUUUAAUAACAUCAUUGUUCACAGAGAAACAUGUUUUUGAAGGAGAUGAUGUGACUUUAUCCUGCAACUACAGUGGUACUGUUUACAAUUUACAUUGGUACCGUCAAUAUCCCGGAUCUAAACCUGAGAAUCUCAUUCUUCACAAUGAGCUCAAUAGUUGGUCAGAGCCCAAGCUUCGUCUGUACGCCGUUGCUGAUAAAGCUGGCAAACGUAUGGAUCUGAGUAUCUCUACAACACAAACAGAGGAUUCAGCUGUGUAUUACUGUGCCCUGGAGCCCACAGUGACAUGAAACACAAACACACUGUACAAAAACUGAGAAGCAGAUUUAAGGCAAAUGAUCAUCAGUUAAAAAAAUGAGCCCCUUAUUCUUAAUAUAAACGAAAAAGCAAACUCUUAUAGUUACACAACAUUCACAAAGUCAGUGUUUAACCUAAUCUAAACACAAAUCACACAUCAUGUGUAGUACUUACUGUAUGUAGGCAGCAUUCUUACCAUAUGCAUAUACUAUAUGUCACCAAGUAGCUGCUGUGCCAUAUCCCAAUAAUGCUGUUCUGUUCGUGUAACACAAUUGCAUAUAUGUACACCACU